rnacentral:rRNA from 1 species
UCCAGACUCCUACGGGAGGCAGCAGUGGGGAAUAUUGCACAAUGGGGGAAACCCUGAUGCAGCGACGCCGCGUGAGUGAAGAAGUAUCUCGGUAUGUAAAGCUCUAUCAGCAGGGAAGAAAAUGACGGUACCUGACUAAGAAGCCUCGGCUAACUACGUGCCAGCAGCCGCGGUAAUACGUAGGGGGCAAGCGUUAUCCGGAUUUACUGGGUGUAAAGGGAGCGUAGACGGUUAUGUAAGUCUGGAGUGAAAGCCCGGGGCCCAACCCCGGGACUGCUUUGGAAACUGUGUAACUAGAGUACAGGAGGGGCAGGCGGAAUUCCUGGUGUAGCGGUGAAAUGCGUAGAUAUCAGGAGGAACACCGGCGGCGAAGGCGGCCUGCUGGACUGAAACUGACGUUGAGGCUCGAAAGCGUGGGGAGCAAACAGGAUUAGAUACCCCUGUA